ACAUGAGUGGCUCAGUGGGUAGAGUACAGGACUUGCACAUGUGAGGCCCUGGGUUCAAUCCCCAGCAUGUC
rnacentral:tRNA from 1 species